CUUCUGCUUUGGACUUCUCAGAACGAUAUUAAUAACCUGGAAUACUUUUACAAGGAAUCCUUUUGAUUUUCGUGAUCUGUGGAUCCUUACGGACUAAAGGAACACAAACCAUGGAGGAAUGGAGAGAGACUCAGAGUUCUACACGUAGAAAAGGGAGACGACUCCGAAGGACAAAGUCCGCUCACACUGGAAACGUGGAUGAGGAACAUUGCCUCCAGACAGAUCAGGGCCAGCUGAAGUGAAGCGAUGACUGAUAAACGCUGUGACAUACCUGCCAUCUGCCAACAGCACUCCCUCGCAGGCCUGUUCGCUGCUGAGGGCGGGAACGCAGGUAAAACUCGCCUCCCCUGCUCCCCUACACCACUGUCUGAAAAGUGUUGUCAGAUACUUACGUUUAGACCGUUUUGCCUUUUUAUUUUCAAGCAAUAUUUCAGUGUCACACCAGUUCCUCUUUCUGCCCAGUGAAACAGGACAAACGUUUGCAAAUGAUGUUUUGCAGGCGACUGAAAAGUAAAACGUUUUAUACCACAUCUGCAGAACUGACACGUAAACUACAGUCAACAGGAUUUUGUUUAUUGAAAUAUAUAAAGUCUUCAUACUGAAAAGACGGAAACACAUUAGGUUGUCUGACUGUUCCUUCCAAAACGACCCAGAUGACCAAUUCAGAAACUGCUCAGCUGAGCGCUGUCUAAUCUGACGCCUCCAGAGUUAAUGUAUAAAUAAAGUUGGGAAAACACUGUGGUCAUGGCUAAAAAAAACAAAGAAAAGACUAACACUGACUGGUUGGAGAUGAGAUAUAAAACCACUCUGGAGCUUCAACCAUCCAUCACCCUGACCUCCUGUUCAUGAGAUUUUGCAUUGUUACAACAACAACA